AUAGGAGUUGAUUACAGAGCAA
rnacentral:miRNA from 1 species